GGCUAACUCCGUGCCAGCAGCCGCGGUAAUACGGAGGGUGCGAGCGUUAAUCGGAAUUACUGGGCGUAAAGCGCAUGCAGGUGGUUGUUAAGUCAGAUGUGAAAGACCCGGGGCGUCAACCUCGGAAUAGCAUUUGAAACUGGCAGACUAGAGUACUGUAGAGGGGGGUAGGAAUUUCAGGUGUAGCGGUGAAAUGCGUAGAGAUCUGAAGGAAUACCGGUGGCGAAGGCGGCCCCCUCGGACAGAUACUGACACUCAGAUGCGAAAGCGUGGGGAGCAAACAGGAUUAGAUACCCCUGGUAG
rnacentral:rRNA from 1 species